GUGGGUGGAAGCUCAUUGUAAGGUCACAUGCUGAGUGCUCGUCACUCCACAUCACCUCGGGGAAGGUCUGAGACAGAGCCAUUGUACCCUCACAGGGUAUCACCUGAUGCAGGUGAGUGAGUGAACGAAAGAAUGGGUUCGUGAGCAGUUCAGCAGGAGAAACCUGGCGGUGCUGAAAAAACUCUACCGGUGGAUGUGACUCUCACUGACUUGGAAUCGCUCACGGCUGGCGGAUGAGUGCGAUGUAUGAGGUGGGGCACACUCCGAACCCAAUUCAGACUACUCUCCCCCCAC
rnacentral:RNase_P_RNA from 1 species